rnacentral:rRNA from 1 species
ACGCUCGACACCUACGGGAGGCAGCAGUGGGGAAUAUUGCACAAUGGGGGAAACCCUGAUGCAGCAACGCCGCGUGAAGGAAGACGGUUUUCGGAUUGUAAACUUCUGUUCUUAGUGAAGAUAGUGACGGUAGCUAAGGGAGCAAGCCACAGCUAACUACGUGUCAGCAGCCGCGGUAAUCUGAGCGGGCUGGCAAGGC